GUUUGUCUCCCAGCCUCUGGCCUCCAGCCAGCAUGCCUAGGACAAGUCCGACCCUUCCUGCCUGGUCUUACCUCCCCAGGGACCAGUGUUCAAAACUGUCCACUUGCAGGUUUUAGGAGACAGGGUGAGGGAGCAGUCUCUCUUCCUGCAGACCUGCUAAGUGCCAGACACACAAUUGUGUCAGAGCAAAACCUUCACCUCGCGAAGGGGCCUACCCUGACUGGAGACAGGAAGAGCACCGGGCAGGGGGAGCCCCACAGCUGCGAACCUGGGGUGGGUGGGGGGUGUCUUUGGUGGUGAAGCGUCCAGCGCCGCCCACUCUAGAACCUCGCACACAAGGGACUCCCUGAAUUCUCACAAGGCCUCUAGGAAGCAGGAUGCCGGUUUUUAUUCAGACUGAGAUGAACACUGCGGUCAGAAGGGAAGGCUGUCUCUGGAGUAACGUCCUCAGAUAUCUCAGCGAGUGAAGAGGGAACGAGGGCCACCCCAGGACAGCGUGGGUCAGUCUGGAUGGUGACAGGUGGACAGGGUUGCUGGGCCCAUGCUGCUCUCAAGGGCCUGUCGGAGGACCCUCCUUUCAUGGAGUCCUUGGAUGGGGACAAGAGAUGACAGGGGUGGGCAGCCCAGGGGCGGUGAGGCACUGCCCAGGUGACCAGCCGGCCAGUCCUGACGCGCGGGGAGGCGGCCGCCUCCACAGACUGAGCGGCCGCCAAGAAGCAGCCACACCAGGCCCUCAUGUCCAACUGCUUUAUUACAUCUUAAAUAACAGUACAGUUUAAUACAGUAUCUAUCUUGCAGCCAGCUUCCUUGCAGUACAGACGUAAAAUUAAAUAUGAAAGGUGGAAGGGUACAGGGAGCAGACAGCUUAGAGGUGUGGAUGGGAAGGGCUGGGGCUCCCGCUGACUCUGCAGGCCCAGGCCUCCGCGUGUCCGCACUUCUGUACAGGGUGCUGCAGACGGACAGACGAGAAGCCACUACUGCUGCUACGGGAGUGCGGGGCCACCACGCUCCUGUCCAAACGCUGCUGCUGGCCUCGGGCUCGCCGCAGACCCAGAGAUGUCCGCCGCAGGAAACUGAGCUGCGUCCCAUGGCCAAGGCUCGCUCCACGGGGGACACAGGCCGAGAGGAAGUUAUGAAGAGGAAGGCCGGCUGCCCGCCCCUGCCCCCGCCCCCCAGAAUCCAACAGCGAUCAUUUGGAACAGGACUUGUUUAAAGAAACGAAGAAACAGUGACUUAUCCUGCUACUCAAGCGUGUAGAGCUGCGGACUGUACUGCUUCCGGAGCGUGCAGAGUCGCGACAGGAAGUGGAGA